rnacentral:rRNA from 1 species
UACGAAGGGGGCUAGCGUUGCUCGGAAUGACUGGGCGUAAAGGGCGCGUAGGCGGACUGUACAGUCAGGCGUGAAAUUCCUGGGCUUAACCUGGGGGCUGCGCAUGAGACGUAGGGUCUGGAGUGCGGAAGAGGGUCGUGGAAUUCCGGGUGUAGUGGUGAAAUGCGUAGAGAUCCGGAGGAACCCCAGAGGCGAAGGCGGCGCCCUGGCUCGCAACUGACGCUCAGACACGACAGCAUGGGGAGCGAACGGG